CCCAUCUGGGCUACUAUAACCACAUGGACCAUCCCUUGCUUCAAUCAUAGAAUUCUUUCUUCAGAUCAAAGUAUAUUCAGACACUCGAUACAGUAACAAAAGCAAGCUAUCCUGGAAGGAAGAAGGAAUCAGGAGGCAGAGCACAUGGUUAAAGCAUGAGAUGUGAAACCAGGAAGAACCAGGUCUGAACCUUAGCUCCACCAGUGGUAGCUUCAAACCUUGGUCCUUUCUGAGCCUGCUUCUUCAACCGUAAGGGAACGCUACACUUCCUUAGAAAUUAAGAGUGUGUGCUACACUGCUUUACCAGAGCAAGGCCAAAAGCAGCUUCAAUUAUGGUACAACUGUGUGAAGACACAAUGCAAAACCACUCAAGAAUGCUCACUCAAAUGGAUUUUUACCAUGCGUCUACAAUGUGGAAGCAAGUCCUGAGUGAAUAUGCAACCCUGCUCCACCUAUGGGGAAGUGGGACCAGAACCAGAAACAUCAGCACACAGGGACACAGCCCUGGAAACACAACCUCUGCUUUCAAAGCAGAUUGGCCACUAAGAGUUUUUAUUACCUAUUUUCUUUGCCAUAUUGUAGUUCCCAAUUCUCAAAAAUAAAAAUGUUAAGAGAAAUAUG
ensembl:lncRNA novel transcript, antisense to IWS1